GAUGAACGCUGGCGGCGUGCCUAAUACAUGCAAGUCGAGCGAACAGACGAGGAGCUUGCUCCUCUGACGUUAGCGGCGGACGGGUGAGUAACACGUGGAUAACCUACCUAUAAGACUGGGAUAACUUCGGGAAACCGGAGCUAAUACCGGAUAAUAUAUUGAACCGCAUGGUUCAAUAGUGAAAGACGGUUUUGCUGUCACUUAUAGAUGGAUCCGCGUCGCAUUAGCUAGUUGGUAAGGUAACGGCUUACCAAGGCAACGAUGCGUAGCCGACCUGAGAGGGUGAUCGGCCACACUGGAACUGAGACACGGUCCAGACUCCUACGGGAGGCAGCAGUAGGGAAUCUGCCGCAAAGGGCGAAAGCUUGACGGAGCAACGCCGCGUGAGUGAUGAAGGUCUUCGGAUCGUAAAACUCUGUUAUUAGGGAAGAACAAAUGUGUAAGUAACUAUGCACGUCUUGACGGUACCUAAUCAGAAAGCCACGGCUAACUACGUG
rnacentral:rRNA from 1 species